rnacentral:rRNA from 1 species
GACGAACGCUGGCGGCGUGCUUAACACAUGCAAGUCGAACGGAAAGGCCCUGCUUUUGUGGGGUUCUCGAGUGGCGAACGGGUGAGUAACACGUGAGUAAUCUGCCCUUGACUUUGGGAUAACUUCACGAAACUGGGGCUAAUACCGGAUAGGAGCUCCUGCUCCAUGGUGGGGGUUGGAAAGAUUCGGCGGUUGUGGAUGGACUCGAGGGUUAUCAGCUUGUUGGUGGGGUAGUGGCUUACCAAGGCUGUGACGGGUAGCCGGCCUGAGAGGGUGACCGGCCACAUUGGGACUGAGAGACGGCCCAGACUGCUACGGGCGGCAGUAGUGGGGAAUAUUGCAGAAUGGGCGGAAGCCUGAUGCAGCAACGCCGCGUGCGGGAUGACGGCCUUCGGGUUGUGAACAGCUUUCGCCUGUGACGAAGCGUGAGUGACGGUAAUGGGUAAAGAAGCACCGGCUAACUACGUG